GUAUAGUAUUACACGUUCAGUCUCUGGAAUGAGGGCAGUCAUGGCCCUUUCCUUUGUGUUGUUCCGACCACACCAAGAGAAGAAGCCAUGCUUUGGAAGGAAAAAAGAAGAUCAGGAAAAUGCUCUUACAGGAUGGAGUCAUAAAGAUGAAGGCACUGGAAACUGUGGUGUGAGGAACCAGUGGGGUUUCGAGGUGAUCUUAAAGGCCAUGUAAAGCUGGCUUCCGCUGGGCUGUCCUGUAGAAGAGAAGUUAGAUAUGCCAGGAGAGGAUUGCAUCUCUCUUUUUAUCUGCUGCUCUCAGUGAGGCUCCAACACCAGUGAUGCAGUCAUCUCACUGAAGUUGGUUUUCUCCAGGAGAAGCUGAGCCAAAUGGAAUCCACCAAGCCCAGCCGCAGCCGGAAGCCCUACUCCUCCCUUACCUUGCCCAGCCUCAAAAAUACAGAAUCUGGAUCCCCCGGACUGACUCCUUCUUCCUUCUCCUCCUCCUCCUCUUUCUCUCUCUCUCUCUAUAAAUAUAAAUAUAUAUAUGUAUAGAUAUACUACAUCCAUAUAUAUAUAUAUAUAUUUUGAGACAGGUUCUGGCUCUGUCACCCAGGCUGGAGUGCAGUGGUGUGAUCUCAGCUCACUGAACCACCGCCUCCUAGGCUCAAGCCAUCCUCCCACCU
rnacentral:lncRNA from 1 species